rnacentral:rRNA from 1 species
CUUGACAUCCAGAGAAUUUAGCAGAGAUGCUUUAGUGCCUUCGGGAACUCUGAGACAGGUGCUGCACGGCUGUCGUCAGCUCGUGUUGUGAAAUGUUGGGUUAAGUCCCGNAACGAGCGCAACCCUUAUCCUUUGUUGCCAGCACGUAAUGGUGGGAACUCAAAGGAGACUGCCGGUGAUAAACCGGAGGAAGGUGGGGAUGACGUCAAGUCAUCAUGGCCCUUACGAGUAGGGCUACACACGUGCUACAAUGGCGCAUACAAAGAGAAGCGACCUCGCGAGAGCAAGCGGACCUCAUAAAGUGCGUCGUAGUCCGGAUUGGAGUCUGCAACUCGACUCCAUGAAGUCGGAAUCGCUAGUAAUCGUAAAUCAGAAUGUUACGGUGAAUACGUUCCCGGGCCUUGUACACACCGCCCGUCACACUAUGGGAGUGGGUUGCAAAAGAAGUAGAUAGCUUAACCUUCGGGAGGGCGUUUACCACUUUGUGAUUCAUGACUGGGGUGAAGUCGUAACAAGGUAGGCGUAGUGCU